rnacentral:lncRNA from 1 species
GGACAAUUGGCAUCGGUUACUAUAACUACGAGAAGUAGAGACUAGAAGUGGACCGCAAAUGUCAGAGCAGAUAGGUAUUAUAUUUAAUAUAAAUAAAUAAAAUUAUACACUAUAAAGUAGAUAUUUAAUUUUAUUUUUAAAAUAUUUCAUUCUCAUUUUCAAUAUUUCAAUCAUUCAAUUCUCAAUAACUCAGCCAUCCAUUUUCUUCAAAUCUAAAAAGCAGAA